GACCAUGGCUCAGGAUGAACGCUAGCGGCAGGCUUAACACAUGCAAGUCGAGGGGCAGCAUAAUGGAUAGCAAUAUCUAUGGUGGCGACCGGCGCACGGGUGCGUAACGCGUAUGCAACCUACCUUUAACAGGGGGAUAACACUGAGAAAUUGGUACUAAUACCCCAUAAUAUCAUAGAAGGCAUCUUUUAUGGUUGAAAAUUCCGAUGGUUAGAGAUGGGCAUGCGUUGUAUUAG
rnacentral:rRNA from 1 species